GCAGUAGUAGCUCAGCACCCAGAGCGCCGGUCUUGUAAGUCGGAUGUCGGGGGUUAAAUUCCCCUCUACUGCU
rnacentral:tRNA from 1 species